CCGUUUGUGUCCUUGAGACGUGAGUGGCGCAGCUAACGCACUAAGUUGACCGCCUGGGGAGUACGGCCGCAAGGUUAAAACUCAAAUGAAUUGACGGGGGCCCGCACAAGCGGUGGAGCAUGUGGUUUAAUUCGAUGCAACGCGAAGAACCUUACCAUCCCUUGACAUCCAGAGAAGAGACUAGAGAUAGACUUGUACCUUCGGGAACUCUGUGACAGGUGCUGCAUGGCUGUCGUCAGCUCGUGUUGUGAAAUGUUGGGUUAAGUCCCGCAACGAGCGCAACCCCUAUCCUUAUUUGCCAGCGCGUUAUGGCGGGAACUCUAAGGAGACUGUCGGUGAUAAACCCGAGGAAGGUGGGGACGACGUCAAGUCAUCAUGGCCCUUACGGGAUGGGCUACACACGUGCUACAAUGGCAGGUACAGAGGGCAGCAAUACUGCGAGGUGGAGCGAAUCCCACAAAGCUUGUCGUAGUCCGGAUUGGAGUCUGCAACUCGACUCCAUGAAGUCGGAAUCGCUAGUAAUCGUAGAUCAGAAUGCUACGGUGAAUACGUUCCCGGGCCUUGUACACACCGCCCGUCACACCAUGGGAGUGGGAUGCAAAAGAAGUGGCUAGUCUAACCUUCGGGAGGACGGUCACCACUUUGUGUUUCAUGACUGGGGUGAAGUCGUAACAAGGUAGCCG
rnacentral:rRNA from 1 species